rnacentral:rRNA from 1 species
GGUGGGCACUCUAAGGAGACUGCCGGUGACAAACCGGAGGAAGGUGGGGAUGACGUCAAGUCAUCCUGGCCCUUACGGCCAGGGCUACACACGUGCUACAAUGGUCGGUACAAAGGGUUGCCAAGCCGCGAGGUGGAGCUAAUCCCAUAAAACCGAUCGUAGUCCGGAUCGCAGUCUGCAACUCGACUGCGUGAAGUCGGAAUCGCUAGUAAUCGUGAAUCAGAAUGUCACGGUGAAUACGUUCCCGGGCCUUGUACACACCGCCCGUCACACCAUGGGAGUGGGUUGCUCCAGAAGUAGCUAGUCUAACCGCAAGGGGGACGGUUACCA